UGGACCAAAAUACUAAGUCCAUAACUUAGACCCAUAAUUUUUUGGUGUGGAUAACAUCUCGUGGCUAGAGGAUGAAAAACAAAACAAGAAAAAAUGAGAAAACCCUCUCCUCUCUUCCUCCCUUAACCGCCUCCCUCUUCUCUUCUCCCUUCCCUCUCCCUUUUUCCCUCUUUCCGCCUACGUCUUCUCUUCUCCCUUCCCUCUCCUCCAGCCGCCUCUCACUCUUCCCCUCCCCUUCUUCUUCCUCUUCCUGAAAUCCGCCACUCUCUCCUUCUCUUUCCUUUCCGGCGAGAAUCUUCGCUGCCGAUCACUACUAUCUCCAGCAAGGGAUGCUGCAACAAGUGAGGCAGUCGCCCCCUCCCUUCCUCUUCUCCUUCUCUCCUCUAGCGGAAACCACCAGCAGCCACCGGCGAGAACACCAACAGCCCCAUUCCGGCAAAACAACAAGCUCCAGCGAGGAGCUUCAAGCUUCGAUGAACCGGAGCAAGAACACCUGCCAGUCCCUUUCCUCUUCCCCUUCACGAUUUUUUUUCUAUUUUGCAGGUUACAAGCAACCCCGAGCUCCGGCAAAGCCAAAGCUCGCACAACCCGCAAAAACCAAUAAGCUCUAAGCUCUGUCAAAAGAACAACACCAGCGCCGACAAGCUCCAACUGUCUAUCUACCACUACGAUUUUAUCCGGCAAGAUCUGACCAAAACUCACAUCGGUAAACAGAAUUGCUUCCCAUGAAGUUAUUCGAAAAAGCUCGGAUUAUAUUUUUAUUUCAUUAUUAUGUAAAUAUUGACUUUAGGCAAACCUUAGGCAGAUAAUUAUUAUUUUAUCUUAUUGUGUAUAUUGCAUGUUUAUUAUAUUUAUACAUUAUUUUAUUCUUCUCAAUUUGAAAAAAUGAACUCAGUCGGGAACCACAGUUGUGGAUUUCGAAAGGUGCCUAACCCCUUCCCUUCGGAAUAACUUGAACCCUUACCUAGAAUCAAUUUGAUUUCGUAGACAUUUCUUUUAGGUUAAUUAAUUAAUCGGUUUCCUAGUUUUCCCAAAAAAUUAGGAGGCGACUCCCUAUUAUCCUUUUAAACUCAUUUUACCACCUUUUAACCCCUUUUACCCGUUUUAAAGAACCUUUUAACUAAUUCUUUUUUAAUUGAGUCGUCGCGACGUUGUUCCCAUUCAAAGGAUGUCAACAGAAUGGCGACUCCGAUGGGGACAUAGAGGUUCUAUCCAUUAUGGAUAUAUUUUUUCAAAUUAAGGAUACUAUUCUUUUAUUGUGUUAUUCAUUAUAUCUUGUAUAUUUUGUUGAUUGUUUACAUAUUGUACUCAAUAUUGAUUUAUUAUUUUUUGUAUAUUGUCAUUGUUUGCACAACAUUUAUUCCGUCAAACGACACCUAAUUUUGCUUUUUUACUUAAAGGACGAUUAUGCGGGUUCGCAAUCGUUCGUGGUUAAACUUUUCUCGGGGCACCCUGACGAAUGUAGUUGACUAUUGGAUAGUCAACGGUCGUUAAUUGUCUCAACCCAAGUAGUCCGCUUGGGUCACCUAUCCACAAUAUACAAAGUCCACUCUUAAUCAUCUUGUAUAGAGCGAAGCCAAAACCUCAUAUUAAGCAUGACACAAUUGUUUGUAUGUUAUGUGAUAUACUUGUUGUACGUAAAUAUGUUGUAUAAUAGUUCAUUAUCUUAAAAUCACUUUUGUUAACCUAGUUUUUAGAAUAUUCAUAAUUCAAGUCCAGUUUUUAUUCAAGUUACAAUCUGUUGGAACUACGUUUGACCUGAUUCCUACUUCAACGGGAUACGUAGGCGCCAUAAAGGCUCGGUCAUCUUCCCUGUAAGCUUUCCAAAAUUUGAAAACGGAACUGGGGCAAAAAUUUUUGAGGAGGUCUCCAAAAAUUUUAUAAAGGAGAUAGUACAAGAUUAAAUACCGGAGGUUGUUGAAGCUGAAACAGGGGCAAAAUUUUUAAGGAAUGCCCUCAAAAAAUUCACCAAAUUUGUACGCAGACUCCAAAAUUUUUGAGGCUUCACUCUAAGUUGGUUUGUAUAUUUUGCAUUAAUUUUUUGUACAUGAUGUCACAUUCAUUGUAUAUCUUUGAUUUUUAUUAUACUCCAUUGAAAAAAUCAUUUUAAUUGACAUUUUUAAGUUGAGUUGUCUGCCCUCCAAUGUGACUCAUUCAUUUUUUUUUACUUUUGCUAUUUUUCUUUAAUUAAUAAAAAAAAUUGUUUGUUGUUAAGUUUGGGUAGUCCGCCCUUCAACACGAAUCAUUAUUUUCUUAUUUUAUUUUUGUUACUUUUGUUAAAUUUGGGUGGUCCGCCCUUAAAUGUGAUCCACUGAUUUCUUCAUUCUUGUUAAUUUUUUUAAAAUAAUUAAAAAAUGUUUUUUUUGUUAAAUUUUGGUUGCCCGCCUUUCAAUGUGGCUCAUUGAUUUUUCAUUCCCUUUAUUUUUCCUGCCAAAAAUGUAUUUGAUCAAAUAUAGAUUUUAUGUCAUAUCUGGACAAACUACGCAAACCUGAUUCUUAUCAUUGAGAUACGUAGGCAGCCCUUUGAGGGUUCGGUAUUCUUUAUUCAAAAGAUCUUUUAUUUUUAUUUCUUUUAACGUUUAUAUUUUUUAAAUCAUUUUUUUGACUUGGUGGAUGCCAACACAAUUCAAGUGUACAUGUGAAAAAUAAUUUGUACAAUAAAGAGGAUUAACUUCUUAUUAAACCAUGGAUUCUUUUGGUACCUCUCAUUCAUACUUUGUUAAGCUUGCAAAUGUUGUCUUGUAUAAAUUCAAGAUUAGAACAAAAUCAGAUUCAUUGUUUCAUGUGCAUUGUGUGGUGAGUUUUGAAUCAAAUCCAAUUAUUUUGCAUUGUUGAUCUAGAACUUGGCCUAAAUGUUAUUGAGGCGAAAUUCUGAGUAAUGUUUGAUUUGAAAUAUGAUUGUAGGCCUUCUUUGAUCCGUUUGAUCCUUUCAAAGCCUACCAAAUGAUGUUAAUCCUUAGAUGUCCCCACUUUGAGCCUUAAGUCUUUUCUUUGGACAACCACAUCUUAGCCUAUACCUUUUCUGAGUGCUUUUACGCACUAUCUCUCUUUUGACCAGACUUUCUUGAGUGCACUGAAGACAUGCAAGUUAUUAGAGAAGAUACAAAGUUCAAAUUUGUCAAAGAUAAAAGUUAUCAAAGUUCCUGAAUGUCAAGAAAACAAAAAUGACUUCAGAAGAAAAAAAAGGGUUCAAAAUUCUCCACCAAUUUAAGAAAGCAAAAUUUCAAAAACACUCCAAACAAAAAAGGAGAAAAUUCAAAAAGAGGGAAAACUCAGACAAACAAAGUUUCAAAGAAGUCAAAAGUGCAAAAGGAAGGGACAACAAAGAGAAUCAAACGCUAAAAGCGUAAUAAAUGUUAAAAACAUCUAUUUAGUGUAAUGCUCAAGAAAGAAUAAGUCACUUUAAUCCCAAAUGACUAUCCUACCCGUUCCUAAGCCAACAUUACAAGCUAUUAACAAGCCCUAUAUGAUUUCAAUUCAAAUGUUCCAGAUUAGUGGAGAUUUACAUGAAGGUCAAGCCUAUGGUAUCACAAUUGCAUGCAUUGAAAAUUUUUUCUGAGUGUCGGUGUGCUUUUCCAGAUGUUCCCAAAUCAAAACACUUUAAAUCUGCACAAAUUGAAAGUUUCUUUCUUGUGAGGGCACUUGAAACAUGAUGUUAGGUCUAGUUCAAAGAUUUUGUUUGUAGCAAGAUGAACAAAUCUUGUCGUUACUUAAGAACAUUUGAGGUAGCACUUGAAUCCAUAGGAAUUACCUCGAUGUCAAUUUCUGUUGAAAGAGAAAAAUUGUGAGAAAUUUUUGUACAAUACUAUUAUUGGCGCUAAUCAAGUUAAAAUAUGUUUCAUUGUUCAUCGAAUAAAAAAAUGAGUUGAAACCCACUUUACAAUAUUUGUCCAUACCAACUUUGUGGACCGUUUCAUUGUUGAUAUUUGUCCAAAUAAUUUUGUGGACCGUUUCAAAGUUUAAAUUGCAUUUUUGGUAGUCAUACCCUUCAAAAUGACAUUUUUUUUAUUUUUUGAUAGUCAUACCCUUCAAAAUGACAUCUUUUAAGUUUGGGUUGUCAUACCUUUCAAACUGACAUCAUUUUAUUUUUAUGCCCCAUAUUUGUCCAAAUAACUUUGUGGACCGUUUCAAAGUUCAAGAUUGCAUUUUUGGGUCGUCACAUCCUUCAAAAUGACAUCUUUUUAUUCUUCGGUCGUCCUGCCUUUCAAAAUGAUAUCUUUUAGAAAUUAAUUUAUUAUCUUAAAUAAAUUAAUUCUUUCCAAAUUGGUUUGUCAUGUCGUUCAAUAUGACACUUUUUUUUAAUUCAAUUUUAAAUUGACAUUUUAUUUCAUUCAUGAUGUUAUUAAGUUUGAAUUGUUGCAUUGGUUAAUACCUUGUUCAUAUGGUCAUGUUUGCAUAAUUUAUGUUAUAUUUUCUACUAACAUUGAUAUUGCAGAUUUUGUGAUACGUCAUUCAUGUAAAGUUCAAGUUGGGUCGUCCGCCUUUCAAAGAGACAUGUUGGGUUGUCAUCUCCCUUCAAAUGACACGUUAAGUUCAAUAUUGGGUUGUCAUCUCCCUUCAAACGACACAUUAAGUUCAAUAGUGGGUUGUCAUCUCUCCUCAAAUGACAUGUUAAGUUCAAGUUGGGUCGUCCGCCUUCCAAAGAGACAUGAUUGGGUUGUCAUAUCCCUUCAAAUGACAUGUUAUGUUCAAGUUGGGUUGUCCGCUUUUCAACGAGACAUGUUGGGUUGUCACUUCGUUUAAAGUGACAUGUUAUGUUAAAAUUGGGUCAUCCUCCUUUCAAAGAGACGGGCUGGGUUGUCACCUCAUUCAAAGUGGUAUGAUAUCCACAUCAUCCUCCUUUCAAAGAGAUGUUAGGUUGUCACCUCGUUCAAAGUAACAUGUUAUUCGCAUCGUCCUUCUUUCAAAAAGGUACACCACCUUCAUUGUGCAAUUUUGAAAGUAACAUCAAAGGUAUGUGAAUUUUCUCAGUUUGCAAUCAAUCUCCGUCUUUUGUUUAUUCUUUUCAGCCAAGUCGACAGAUGUGGAGUCUUGCUCAAAAGCUCUACUAACGUCUCAAUUGUUUUGUUCAAUGUUUAUCAAACCAAAUUUGGUUCGUCAACUUUGUUUGACCAGGAUCUCUUUCAUCGAUCCUAAUCAAACAAAGGGGCAAGUUGUUGACACCAAAUUUUGGUCUGAUGGUUUUAAAAUUAAUACAUUUUGAGUUAAAUACAAAAAAAAAUUUAGAAAUUCUAUUUUUUAAUUUUGGACCAGAAUACUAAGUCCAUAACUUAGACCCAUAAUUUUUUGGUGUGGAUAACAUCUUGUGGUUAGAGGAUGAAAAACAAAACAAGAAAAAAUGAGAAAACCCUCUCCUCUCUUCCUCCCUUAACCGCCUCCCUCUUCUCUUCUCCCUUCCCUCUCCCUUUUUCCCUCUUUCCGCCUCCGUCUUCUCUUCUCCCUUCCCUCUCCUCCAGCCGCCUCUCACUCUUCCACUCCCCUUCUUCUUCCUCUUACAGAAAUCCGCCACUCUCUCCUUCUCUUUCCUUUCCGACGAGAAUCUUCGCUGCCGAUCACUACUAUCUCCAGCAAGGGAUGCUGCAACAAGUGAGGCAGUCGCCCCCUCCCUUCCUCUUCUCCUUCUCUCCUCUCGCGGAAACCACCAGCAGCCACCGGCAAGAACACCAACAGCCCCAUUCCAGCAAAACAACAAGCUCCGGCGAGGAGCUUCAAGCUUCGAUGAACCGGAGCAAGAACACCUGUCAGUCCCUUUCCUCUUCCCCUUCACGAUUUUUUUUCUAUUUUGCAGGUUACAAGCAACCCCGAGCUCCGGCAAAGCCAAAGCUCGCACAACCCGCAAAAACCAAUAAGCUCUAAGCUCUGUCAAAAGAACAACACCAGCGCCGACAAGCUCCAACUGUCUAUCUACCACUACGAUUUUAUCCGGCAAGAUCUGACCAAAACUCACAUCGGUAAUUUUUUUUCUGACUUAUUUUUAUUCUAUAUCGUUCAUUGUUGUGAUUGAGGUUAUCUUUAGUUAUCUUUUUUCAGUAGCUAAUUUGUUGGUUUAUUCUUAUUUUUAUUUUUUUAAUUUUGUUAUUGGGUUAAGUUAUAUUUAGAUAAAUGUUUCUCCACUUUGGUCAUAAAUGGUUUGUAUAAUUUUGAUGUUUACUCAUUUGGUGGUGGUUUUGUCAUUUUAUAUUAUUUUAUUUUCUAUGCAUUGCGUUGAAUUGUUAUGAUAUUAAAGGUUGCUUGUUUCUUCAUGAGUUUAUUUGUUUUCCAACUGUUAGGUGGUGCUUUUACCAUUGUCUCAUUGAUUUGCUUAUUAUUUGGAUAUUUUUGGAUUAUUUAACACUGAUUCUUAAUUUAUUCUUGGCUAUUGAUUGCUUUAUUUUAGGAUGAUACUUCUUUAAGUUAUCAUUUUUUACUACUUUGUUGGUUUUUUUAUUUUUAUUUUCCAUAUAUUUUGCAAAUGCUGGAAAUUUUUUUAUAAUAAAUGUAUUUGAUUUAGUGAUAGGUGAUGUAUUUUUGUUACUUUUCCCUUUUUCUGUUCCUUACUGUUAAUAUUGUUAUAGGACAUUCUUCGUAAAGUGUAUGUCAUUUUUUUACUCUUAGGUGUUAUUAUAUACUAAGUACACAAAGUUAAAUUUGACCAAUGAAAAAACUCUUCGUCGGUUUUGGAGGCCUCCGAUGUUAAUAAGACGGAUUUUUAUUUUUAA